rnacentral:rRNA from 1 species
AUUGAACGCUGGCGGCAGGCUUAACACAUGCAAGUCGAGCGGGGGAAGGUAGCUUGCUACUGGACCUAGCGGCGGACGGGUGAGUAAUGCUUAGGAAUCUGCCUAUUAGUGGGGGACAACAUCUCGAAAGGGAUGCUAAUACCGCAUACGUCCUACGGGAGAAAGCAGGGGAUCUUCGGACCUUGCGCUAACAGAUGAGCCUAAGUCGGAUUAGCUAGUUGGUGGGGUAAAGGCCUACCAAGGCGACGAUCUGUAGCGGGUCUGAGAGGAUGAUCCGCCAAACUGGGACUGAGACACGGCCCAGACUCCUACGGGAGGCAGCAGUGGGGAAUAUUGGACAAUGGGGGGAACCCUGAUCCAGCCAUGCCGCGUGUGUGAAGAAGGCCUUAUGGUUGUAAAGCACUUUAAGCGAGGAGGAGGCUACUCUAGUUAAUACCUAGGGAUAGUGGACGUUACUCGCAGAAUAAGCACCGGCUAACUCUGUGCCAGCCGCCGCAGUAA